UCCAAACUAUGAAUACUUGGACUGGGAUACAAAACUCAAUCUUCCGAAGUCGGCAGAACACUUUGUUGCCUUCAUCAAGGAAGUGGAAGACGCUUCCAAAUCAUCUCGCCUCAAGGGACCGAUCCUGUUGCAUUGCCUGAACGGUGCUGGAAAGAGCGGCCUUUUUUGUGUUGUCUCGAUAUUACUCGAAAACUGAUUGAAGAUAAUGAAGUCAGUGUGGCCAAUGCGGUGAAGACUGUCAAAGCUAGAGGACCGCUCGCUAUUCCAAAUAAGGAGCAGUUUUACUUCUGCUACGAGUGUGUUCUCCAUUCCUUGAACGCAACUGAAAACGCUGCGUGAUACAAUAUAUGAGGGAAUGCUGCGUGAUACAACAUAUGAGGGAAUACUGCGUAAUACCAAAUAUGAGGGAAUACUGCGUGAUACAGCAUAAGAGGGAAUGCUGCGUAAUACAACAUAAGAGGGAAAGGUGCGUAAUACAACAUAUGAGGGAAUGCUGUGUGAUACAAUAUAAGAGAGAAUGAAGCCGGUUGUCCUAUUUAGAACAAUGACCUCCAUUUACAUUACCACAUGAAUACACAUUUGACAAGUAAAGUUACCAGAUUAUCUCAUUAAUUUCCAUAUGCGAUAUGUGGAAUGGAAAAAUUGUUAAAUGAAACACAAAUAUCACUUCUCCCUCAAACUCGCAAGACAUAUAUUUUACAGUGCAUUGAGGAAUCUGCGCAAAUUGAAACAGGAUUAUUUCCGUUAUUCUGUUUAUUAAUGCAACAUUAUAUAUUAUAUGACAUUGAAUUGCAUUGUAUGUGCUGAAAUUUUCUAAUCAUUCUUCAUUUUGACCUAAUUUAA